AAGAGUUAGGGUCUUCGGGCUCGACCUCCAACCCUUUGUUUAAUUACCAUGUUGCUUUGGCGGACCCGUCUCACGACCGCCAGAAGUUGGGGGAUCCCUCCAACCUUUGGCCCGUGUCCGUCAAUGGCCCUAUUCAAAUUCUUGAUAAAUUGCGAUGUCUGAAUUACAAACUUAAUAGUUA
rnacentral:misc_RNA from 1 species